UCCGGUUUGAAACCGGCAGUCGCGUUAGACAUGGUAAUUAACGCCGAGGGUUGCGCUCGUCGCGGGACUUAACCCAACACCUCACGGCACGAGCUGACGACAGCCAUGCAGCACCUGUGACGGUUCUCGACUUUACGAGUGGUUCCCCGUUUCCGGUUCUUACCACCAGCAUGUCAAACCUGGGUAAGGUUCUUCGCGUUGCGUCGAAUUGAACCACAUGCACCACCGCUUGUGCGGGCCCCCGUCAAUUCCUUUGAGUUUCAGCCUUGCGGCCGUACUCCCCAGGCGGGGUACUUCCUGCGUUAGCGCCGGCACCCAAGGGGUCGCUCCCCCAGGCACCUAGUACCCAUCGUUUACGGCGUGGACUAC
rnacentral:misc_RNA from 1 species